rnacentral:rRNA from 1 species
GACGAACGCUGGCGGCGUGCUUAACACAUGCAAGUCGAACGGAAGUAACGAUUUCGGUUUUUACUUUAGUGGCGAACGGGUGAGUAACGCGUGAGGAACCUGCCUCUCAGUGGGGGACAACAGUUGGAAACGACUGCUAAUACCGCAUAAUGUCCCGAAUCGGCAUCGGGUUGUGACCAAAGUUUUAUUGCUGAAGGAUGGCCUCGCGUCUGAUUAGCUAGUUGGUGGAGUAACGGCCCACCAAGGCGACGAUCAGUAGCCGGACUGAGAGGUUGACCGGCCACAUGGGGAAUGAGAUACGGCCCAGACUCCUACGGGAGGCAGCAGUGGGGAAUAUUGGGCAAUGGGCGAAAGCCUGACCCAGCAACGCCGCGUGAAGGAAGAAGGCCUUCGGGUUGUAAACUUCUUUUACCAGGGACGAACACAAUGACAGUACCUGGAGAAAAAGCAACGGCUAACUACGUGCCAGCCGCCGCCGUAAUAG